rnacentral:rRNA from 1 species
AGGACGAACGCUGGCGGCGUGCUUAAUACAUGCAAGUCGAGCGAGAAACCACCGCUCCGUAAGGAGUGGUGGCGGAAAGCGGCGAACGGGUGAGUAACACGUGGGUAAUGUGCCCUGAACAUCGGGAUAACAGUGGGAAACCGCUGCUAAUACCGAAUAACCCUGCAAUGUCGCAUGACGAAGCAGGCAAAGUUCCGGCGGUUCAGGAUCAGCCCGCGGUGUAUCAGCUUGUUGGUGGGGUAACGGCCUACCAAGGCUUUGACGCAUAGCUGGCGUGAGAGCGCGACCAGCCACACUGGGACUGAGACACGGCCCAGACUCCUACGGGAGGCAGCAGUAGGGAAUCUUGCGCAAUGGGCGAAAGCCUGACGCAGCGACGCCGCGUGAGGAUGAAGGCCUUCGGUGUAAACCUCUUUACAGUAGGACAAGCCUUCACGGUGACGGUACCUACAGAACGAAGCCCCCGGACAACGUACGUGCCAGCACGCCGCGGUAAUCCGUGACG